rnacentral:rRNA from 1 species
UGUGCCAGCCGCCGCGGUAAAACCAGCACCUCAAGUGGUCAGGAGGAUUAUUGGGCCUAAAGCAUCCGUAGCCGGUUCUGUAAGUUUUCGGUUAAAUCCACUAGCUUAACUAAUGGGCUGCCGAAAAUACUGCAGAACUAGGGAGUGGGAGAGGUAGACGGUACUCGAUAGGAAGGGGUAAAAUCCUUUGAUCUAUUGAUGACCACCUGUGGCGAAGGCGGUCUACCAGAACACGUUCGACGGUGAGGGAUGAAAGCUGGGGGAGCAAACCGGAUUAGAUACCCGGGUAGUCCCAGCUGUAAACGAUGCAGACUCGGUGAUGCAUUGGCUUGUGGCCAGUGCAGUGCCGCAGGGAAGCCGUUAAGUUUGCCGCCUGGGAAGUACGUACGCAAGUAUGAAACUUAAAGGAAUUGGCGGGGGAGCACCACAAGGGGUGAAGCCUGCGGUUCAAUUGGAGUCAACGCCAGAAAUCUUACCCGGGGAGACAGCAGAAUGAAGGUCAAGCUGAAGACUUUACCAGACAAGCUGAGAGGUGGUGCAUGGCCGUCGCCAGCUCGUGCCGUGAGAUGUCCUGUUAAGUCAGGUAACGAGCGAGACCCUUGCCUCUAGUUGCCACCAUUACUCUCUGGAGUAGUGGGGCGAAUUAGAGGGACCGCCACAGUUAAUGUGGAGGAAGGAGAGGGCCACGGCAGGUCAGUAUGCCCCGAAACCCUGGGGCUACACGCGGGCUGCAAUGGUAGCGACAAUAUGUUUCGAACCCUAAAGGGGGAGGCAAUCAUUAAACGCUACCUCAGUCAUGACUGAGGGCUGCAACUCGCCCUCACGAAUAUGGAAUCCCUAGUAACUGCGCGUCACUACCGCGCGG